rnacentral:rRNA from 1 species
CAGGGCCUACGGGGCGCAGCAGUGGGGAAUAUUGCACAAUGGGGGAAACCCUGAUGCAGCAACGCCGCGUGAGUGAUGACGGCCUUCGGAUUGUAAACCUCUGUCCUCUGUGAAGAUGAUGACGGUAGCAGAGGAGGAAGCUCCGGCUAACUACGUGCCAGCAGCCGCGGUAAUACGUAGGGAGCGAGCGUUGUCCGGAUUUACUGGGUGUAAAGGGUGCGUAGGCGGCUUGGCAAGUCAGUAGUGAAAUCCAUGGGCUUAACCCAUGAACUGCUAUUGAAACUGUGGAGCUUGAGUGAAGUAGG